GCGGGAAUAGCGCAAUUGGCAGAGCGGCGGCUUCCCAAGCCGCAGGUCGCGGGUUCGACCCCCGUUUCCCGCU
rnacentral:tRNA from 1 species